GAUGAACGCUGGCGGCGUGCCUAAUACAUGCAAGUCGAGCGAACAGACGAGGAGCUUGCUCCUUCGACGUUAGCGGCGGACGGGUGAGUAACACGUAGGUAACCUACCUAUAAGACUGGGAUAACUUCGGGAAACCGGAGCUAAUACCGGAUAAUAUUUCGAACCGCAUGGUUCGAUAGUGAAAGAUGGCUUUGCUAUCACUUAUUGAUGGACCUGCGCCGUAUUAGCUAGUUGGUAAGGUAACGGCUUACCAAGGCAACGAUACGUAGCCGACCUGAGAGGGUGAUCGGCCACACUGGAACUGAGACACGGUCCAGACUCCUACGGGAGGCAGCAGUAGGGAAUCUUCCGCAAUGGGCGAAAGCCUGACGGAGCAACGCCGCGCGAGUGAUGAAGGUCUUCGGAUCGUAAAACUCUGUUAUUAGGGAAGAACAAACGUGUAAGUAACUGUGCACGUCUUGACGGUACCUAAUCAGAAAGCCACGGCUAACUACGUG
rnacentral:rRNA from 1 species